rnacentral:rRNA from 1 species
UACGAAGGGGUCUAGCGUUGUUCGGAAUUACUGGGCGUAAAGCGCACGUAGGCGGAUUGUUAAGUGAGGGGUGAAAUCCCAGGGCUCAACCCUGGAACUGCCUUUCAUACUGGCAAUCUCGAGUCCGAGAGAGGUGAGUGGAAUUCCGAGUGUAGAGGUGAGAUUCGUAGAUAUUCGGAGGAACACCAGUGGCGAAGGCGGCUCACUGGCUCGGUACUGACGCUGAGGUGCGAAAGCGUGGGGAGCAAACAGG